rnacentral:lncRNA from 1 species
GUGCGCCGGCCUCGGAGAGCGGGCGUCCCCUAGCUAUGCCUCCCAGAGGGAGGCUUCCGAACUACAGUUCCCGUCGUCCUACGCGGGCGCCGGGUUGGCUCCGGCUCUUUUCCGAGAGAGGCUGGUUCCUAUUUUAAAUCCAGGCAGCGAUCAAAAUGGCGGCGUCGAGCUGAGCGCGAGAGGCGGAGGAGAGAGGCUCUCGGCGGUGUGUUUCCUCCAUCUCUCCCGAAAAUGUUAAGUACAGUUAUGCUCCUAAUGAAUGUGACACCAAGUGCCUGCUGAUCCUGAUGACCAUUGAAAAACCGUCCAAACUUGCCUGUAUUUUAAGGACGUGUAAGUUACUGAAAUAAUUUUUAAAAGUAGAUUAUAAAGAUGAUGUGUUUUUGUAGAUUGUAAAAUUUCCAACAUAUGCAUAACAUUGGUGGGUGUUUUAGUCAAAAUCAAGGAAGGUAAAGGUUACUUUCAGUAGAAGAUGUAGCUGUGUUUUAACUGAAUUCAAUGUGGGGUGUGCUUUUUUGCACACCUUUAAUCUUUUGAUUCAGUUAUUCAUUUUACUGAACAGAGAGAAUUCAGAAGGUUUUUUUAAUCAGCUAGAUCUUUUAUACUGCAAACCUUAGUGUGGGUUGCAGCUUAUUUUAAGCUAGCAUGGAGUUCCCGACUGAAUGGUACAUGUCCUGUUUUCCUAUUUCUGGUGGGACUGAAGAGCCAUCAAGUCCUAGGAACCAGCCAAGGGCUACUAGCAUAAUAUUCCUUAAUAUCCCACUUUAAUGUUUUUGUUGUUACUUCCACCUUUUGCACCAAGGUGGUUCACGUUUGUUAUUUCAGUAGGUCAGUAUUGCAGGUAAAACCUUGAAACUGAGAAACUGACUUACCUUAAGGCCACCUGGUUAGCUCACAACUGAAAUGAGAUUUGAAUCUUACUGAAUUUAUUCUAUUUCAGUGAAUCUAAUGCACCAUCGAGGGUAAGACAGUACCCUUUUUUGAAGCUCCAAAUUUGGAAAAAAUAUUUUCUUAGAAUAUUUUUUAGAAUUUUCUCUGCAUGCACAAUAUCUUGUUUUGUUUAAACCCGGAAGUCAUCUUGUAUCUUUUUAUUAGCUAAAUGGGCUAAUAGGAAGGCAGGGGACUCAGGAAGUAGUGCUUAACACAGCCAGACUGUUAAAUGUUGAGGCUGAGAAAAAAAUGGUGGGAGCUGGUAGAGUAAUUGGGACUGGGACUCCUCCUCCUCUCUCAGAGUUAAGCCAUUUUUUCCCCCAAAAAAAUCUGAAUCAAAGGCACCAUUAAUUUUAAGAUGCAUUUCUAUUUUUGAAGCAUCUAAACAGUGGAACAGUGCUCCUUGGAAUCAGUGAAAUAGGGUAUUUAUUUAUAUUAUUUUUUGAUAUCUGGUUAUUCUCCCAGUAUGAGUACAAGGCAGUUUAAAAAAUUAAACCAAAUGUAGCUAAAGCAUUUGACAGAAACAUUUUAAAAAUUAAAUAAACAAUUAUAUUGUAAACUUUGCAUUAAAAACAGUUCAAAAUACACCAAAAUGCUGUAAAAAAAGAAAUAUAUAUCUAUAACAUCUCAUUAAAUUAUCUUUCUGCCACAGUAUGUUAAUAGUCCUGAGGCCUGCCUACAUAAAGGAAUUUCUAUCUUCUGCCCUUGAAUAAGAGGCUUAAAUAGUAAUGUUAGUAUAAAUACCAAAGUGUGGAGGUAAAUGAGGUAAAUAUUAAAAUAUCUUAUAUUCAGAGGACUAUAUUUGAGUUUGUAGAUGCUGGAAAUCAGAAGCUGCUAAAUAGCUCUUGACCCAUAUAGUGGGGAAAAAAAGUAUUUAGUCAGAUGCCAAUUGUACAAGUUCUCCCACUGAAAAAGAUGAGAGAAGCCUGUAAUUGAC